rnacentral:lncRNA from 1 species
UGGAUGCAGGCGACCUUGUAUAUAUAGUGCCCCCCGACGGUCGAGAUGGAAGCACGACCAACGAGGAACUCCCAGAUUGCGCCACGUGGCGACAUCCGGGCCAUCUUUCAGCCCGACGGUUCGACGCACCCGUCCUCAGAUCGAGCCACGUUACCUCCAUCCGCUCGAACGGACCCGGCCCAAUGGCCACCUGCCAUGUGGCGA